rnacentral:rRNA from 1 species
AGCGAACGCUGGCGGCAGGCCUAACACAUGCAAGUCGAACGAGGUCUUCGAACCUAGUGGCGGACGGGUGAGUAACACGUGGGAACGUGCCCUUUGGUACGGAAUAACUCAGGGAAACUUGAGCUAAUACCGUAUGUGCCCUUCGGGGGAAAGAUUUAUCGCCAUUGGAGCGGCCCGCGUCUGAUUAGCUAGUUGGUGAGGUAAUGGCUCACCAAGGCGACGAUCAGUAGCUGGUCUGAGAGGAUGACCAGCCACAUUGGGACCGAGACACGGCCCAAACCCCUACGGGUGGCAGCAGUGGGGAAUCUUGCGCAAUGGGCGAAAGCCUGACGCAGCCAUGCCGCGUGGAUGAUGAAGGUCUUAGGAUUGUAAAAUCCUUUCACCGGUGAAGAUAAUGACUGUAGCCGGAGAAGAAGCCCCGGCUAACUUCGUGCCAGCCGCCGCCGUAAAAC